rnacentral:lncRNA from 1 species
UCACAGAGCAGUAUCUGAGAUCCAGGUAGAAAGACCAAAAGGAAAAUUAAGAACAGACUCUCAGACCUGCCUUCCCUUUGCAUUCAGAAGCAAGCAGCAUGCUGGAGACCCUCAAAUACAUGUGAAAUGAAGGGACACCUUGUGUUAUUUCACCUGUUUCCACCUGGUUCCCAAGUGGCAAGCUUGCAUUGAGGUUACAAAGUGGCAAAGCUGGGAUAUCACAUGAUGUCACCAUGAUGCUAUAUGAAAUGUAACAUUAAUUGAGUACCUAUGUGACCAGUUCUUUAAUUCUGUAAGUGAACUCUCAAAAAACCCUAGGUAAGUAUUAUCAACUCGAACUUUAACGGAUGAGGAAACUGGAAUUUUUUAAAAAAUGACUUAACCAAACAUCACAGAGCUGUAAACCAGGAUUUGAAUGGGUGAGCUGCACUCAGCCUUCAUCUCAAGUCAGUUUGCCUCUUUCUCCAAGAAGCCACAGUUGAUCCUGACCACAUCACAUAUGAGUUGCCUGGAUUGCAGUCAUUCAUUCACUAAGCAUCUUUUAGGAGGUCACAUGCCAGGCACCGUGUUAGGUAAUGAUUUCUCCAAGUCACAGGAGCCGUGGUUCUGACUUUAGAAAGUUUCUCAUCUGAUGGGAGGGCAGGCAAGUAAAUCAGUAAGGGUGGUCCCUGUCGGGACACUGGUUGAGAAAUACCCAGGAACACUCUGAUUGAGAAAUACCCAAAGUGCAAAGUGACAGGGACUAGAGGCAUCUCCACUGGACCAGAGAGCUCUGGAUUCGUCUUGAGCUAAGUCUCUGGAGAGCACUGCGUGUUUUGAAAUAUACAAAUAGUGGGAAACGAAAUCUUUGUUCUGGAUGCAGUUAUAAUUUGGAAAGCGAGGAAAUAAAUUAUAACAAGGGGAAAAAACAGAAUACUACUAAAGUCAUGCCGUGUGACUUCUGAAGCUAGCUCCUAAGAAGUCCUUGCAGCUUCUGCCUGCGACUCUUAGAACACUUGCUUUGAAGGAUGCCAGAUGCUGUCUUAAAAGUCUGAGCACUCUGAAACCAUCAUGCUGUGAGGAAGCCCAAGCUAACCACAUGGGCAAAAAAGAUGCCCUCUGACUGCCACCAUUUGAGACACUCUAAUUAAGAACUGCCUCAUUGAGCCCAUGAGGCCCUGUGAAUGAUAAUAAUAAAUUGUUUUUAACCA